rnacentral:rRNA from 1 species
AGUGAACGCUGGCGGUAGGCCUAACACAUGCAAGUCGAACGGCAGCACAGUAAGAGCUUGCUCUUACGGGUGGCGAGUGGCGGACGGGUGAGGAAUACAUCGGAAUCUACUUUUUCGUGGGGGAUAACGUAGGGAAACUUACGCUAAUACCGCAUACGACCUACGGGUGAAAGCAGGGGAUCUUCGGACCUUGCGCGAUUGAAUGAGCCGAUGUCGGAUUAGCUAGUUGGCGGGGUAAAGGCCCACCAAGGCGACGAUCCGUAGCUGGUCUGAGAGGAUGAUCAGCCACACUGGAACUGAGACACGGUCCAGACUCCUACGGGAGGCAGCAGUGGGGAAUAUUGGACAAAGGGCGCAAGCCUGAUCCAGCCAUGCCGCGUGUGUGAAGAAGGCCUUCGGGUUGUAAAGCCCUUUUGUUGGGAAAGAAAAGCAGCAGGUUAAUACCCCGCUGUUCUGACGGUACCCAAAGAAUAAGCACCGGCUAACUUCGUG